GUGAACGCUGGCGGUAGGCCUAACACCUGCAAGUCGAACGGCAGCACAGUAAGAGCUUGCUCUUACGGGUGGCGAGUGGCGGACGGGUGAGGAAUACAUCGGAAUCUACUUUUUCGUGGGGGAUAACGUAGGGAAACUUACGCUAAUACCGCAUACGACCUACGGGUGAAAGCAGGGGAUCUUCGGACCUUGCGCGAUUGAAUGAGCCGAUGUCGGAUUAGCUAGUUGGCGGGGUAAAGGCCCACCAAGGCGACGAUCCGUAGCUGGUCUGAGAGGAUGAUCGGCCACACUGGAACUGAGACACGGUCCAGACUCCUACGGGAGGCAGCAGUGGGGAAUAUUGGACAAUGGGCGCAAGCCUGAUCCAGCCAUACCGCGUGGGUGAAGAAGGCCUUCGGGUUGUAAAGCCCUUUUGUUGGGAAAGAAAAGCAGCAGGUUAAUACCCCGCUGUUCUGACGGUACCCAAAGAAUAAGCACCGGCUAACUUCGUG
rnacentral:rRNA from 1 species